rnacentral:rRNA from 1 species
UUGACCUCGGAUCAGGUAGGGAUACCCGCUGAACUUAAGCAUAUCAAUAAGCGGAGGAAAAGAAACCAACCGGGAUUACCCUAGUAACGGCGAGUGAAGCGGUAAGAGCUCAAAUUUGAAAGCUGGCCCCCUCGGGGUCCGCAUUGUAAUUUGCAGAGGAUGCUUCGGGAGCGGUCCCCAUCUAAGUGCCCUGGAACGGGCCGU